UACGUAGGUGGCAAGCGUUGUCCGGAUUUACUGGGCGUAAAGAGCGCGCAGGCGGUCGUUCAAGUCGCGUGUGAAAGCCCCCGGCUCAACUGGGGAGGGUCACGCGAUACUGAUCGACUCGAAGGCAGGAGAGGGUAGUGGAAUUCCCGGUGUAGUGGUGAAAUGCGUAGAUAUCGGGAGGAACACCAGUGGCGAAGGCGACUACCUGGCCUGUUCUUGACGCUGAGGCGCGAAAGCUAGGGGAGCGAACCGG
rnacentral:rRNA from 1 species